rnacentral:rRNA from 1 species
GACGAACGCUGGCGGCAUGCUUAACACAUGCAAGUCGAACGGGACGCCUAUGAAGGAGUUUUCGGACAACGGAGUAGGUUGUUUAGUGGCGGACGGGUGAGUAACGCGUGAGGAACCUGCCUUUCAGAGGGGGACAACAGCUGGAAACGGCUGCUAAUACCGCAUAAAGUAUCUGUAUCGCAUGGUAUGGAUACCAAAGAUUUAUCGCUGAGAGAUGGCCUCGCGUCUGAUUAGCUAGUUGGUGAGGUAACGGCCCACCAAGGCGACGAUCAGUAGCCGGACUGAGAGGUUGGCCGGCCACAUUGGGACUGAGAUACGGCCCAG